ACUCCUACGGGAGGCAGCAGUGAGGAAUAUUGGUCAAUGGACGCAAGUCUGAACCAGCCAUGUCGCGUGCAGGAAGACUGCCCUAUGGGUUGUAAACUGCUUUUAUACGGGAAGAAAUAUAGCUACGUGUAGUUAUUUGCCGGUACCGUAUGAAUAAGCAUCGGCUAACUCCGUGCCAGCAGCCGCGGUAAUACGGAGGAUGCGAGCGUUAUCCGGAUUCAUUGGGUUUAAAGGGUGCGUAGGCGGAAGUAUAAGUCAGGGGUGAAAGUUGUGGCUCAACCAUAAAAUUGCCUUUGAUACUGUAUUUCUUGAGUACAUUUGAGGUAGGCGGAAUGUGUUGUGUAGCGGUGAAAUGCUUAGAUAUAACACAGAACACCGAUUGCGAAGGCAGCUUACUAAACUGUAACUGACGCUGAUGCACGAAAGCGUGGGAUCGAACAGGAUUAGAUACCCCUGGUAGCACAGAG
rnacentral:rRNA from 1 species